rnacentral:piRNA from 1 species
UAAACUCACCCAACUUUUCGAAACCCACCAC